CCUGCUGUGAAAGNCCGGGGCUUAACCCCGUGUAUUGCAGUGGGUACGGGCAGACUAGAGUGCAGUAGGGGAGACUGGAAUUCCUGGUGUAGCGGUGGAAUGCGCAGAUAUCAGGAGGAACACCGAUGGCGAAGGCAGGUCUCUGGGCUGUAACUGACGCUGAGAAGCGAAAGCAUGGGGAGCGAACAGGAUUAGAUACCCUGGUAGUCCAUGCCGUAAACGUUGGGCACUAGGUGUGGGGGACAUUCCACGUUUUCCGCGCCGUAGCUAACGCAUUAAGUGCCCCGCCUGGGGAGUACGGCCGCAAGGCUAAAACUCAAAGAAAUUGACGGGGGCCCGCACAAGCGGCGGAGCAUGCGGAUUAAUUCGAUGCAACGCGAAGAACCUUACCAAGGCUUGACAUAUACUGGACCGCAUCAGAGAUGGUGUUUCCCUUCGGGGCUGGUAUACAGGUGGUGCAUGGUUGUCGUCAGCUCGUGUCGUGAGAUGUUGGGUUAAGUCCCGCAACGAGCGCAACCCUCGUUCUAUGUUGCCAGCACGUUAUGGUGGGGACUCAUAGGAGACUGCCGGGGUCAACUCGGAGGAAGGUGGGGAUGACGUCAAAUCAUCAUGCCCCUUAUGUCUUGGGCUUCACGCAUGCUACAAUGGCCGGUACAGAGGGUUGCGAUACUGUGAGGUGGAGCUAAUCCCUAAAAGCCGGUCUCAGUUCGGAUUGGGGUCUGCAACUCGACCCCAUGAAGUCGGAGUCGCUAGUAAUCGCAGAUCAGCAACGCUGCGGUGAAUACGUUCCCGGGCCUUGUACACACCGCCCGUCAAGUCACGAAAGUUGGUAACACCCAAAGCCGGUGGCCUAACCCUUUU
rnacentral:rRNA from 1 species